rnacentral:misc_RNA from 1 species
CAACCCUCAAGCACUGCUUGGUCUUGGGCCACGCCGGCGACGGCGGGUCUUAAACGUAGUGGCGGCACCAUCGGUUCCCUCAGUGUAGUAAUAUCUCUCGCUGUUGGGCCCUGGUGGUCGCUGGCCAGCAACCCUUUAUUUUUUCU